rnacentral:tRNA from 2 species
GCCCGGGUGGUGAAAUUGGUAUACACAAGGGACUUAAAAUCCCUCAACAUAAAUAGUUAUGCGGGUUCAAUUCCCGCUCCGGGUA